CAGUAGCCGCGGUAAUACGUAGGUGGCAAGCGUUGUCCGGAAUUAUUGGGCGUAAAGGGCUCGCAGGCGGUUUCUUAAGUCUGAUGUGAAAGCCCCCGGCUCAACCGGGGAGGAUCAUUGGAAACUGGGAAACUUGAGUGCAGAAGAGGAGAGUGGAAUUCCACGUGUAGCGGUGAAAUGCGUAGAGAUGUGGAGGAACACCAGUGGCGAAGGCGACUCUCUGGUCUGUAACUGACGCUGAGGAGCGAAAGCGUGGGGAGCGAACAGGAUUAGAUACCCCUGUAGUCCCUGUCUCUUAUAC
rnacentral:rRNA from 1 species